GGUCUUCAUUCAGUGCAGCCAGUAGUCUCCACGCCCUUCUACCACACCUUACCAGCGGACGACAACGGACAGCGGACACAUGGUCCGGUUAUCCGGUUAGGCGUGCCGGGCGUGGGCUCAAAAUAAAGAAUUCAAGCUUUUAUUUUGUCAUGUCCUUGGUGACGGUGGAUCCUCGCCUGGGGGUGGUUGUGGUGAGCAUAAAAGUCUUCUUCAGUCGAAGAUUCUCACAGUCUUCUUCAGCAGAGAAUCUUUGAAGCACAGCAGCUCUAAAACACGAAAUAAUGUUCGCUAAACUGUUUGCUCUCCUCCUGUUGGUGGUGGUGGCGUUUGCUCGUCCGGACGAGGAUGACUUCUAUGGCUUCUACAACCCAGUCCAGCCGGUGAGCUCGCCGGUGUUCGCGCCAGCUGUGCAGACCUACUCCACCAUCCAAUAUCCCGCCGUCCGAUCCAGCUUCCGAUAUUACUUCGACGACGACGAUGACUAGACUAAUUAAUUAAGAAUGACAUCUCUGUUGCUAUUCAUUUAUUAAAUGAACUCA